rfam:Oryza sativa Indica Group cultivar 93-11 Ctg036811, whole genome shotgun sequence.
UUAAAGUGUAACCAUAAGUUUUCGUAUCCAACUUUGAUCAUCCGUCUUGUUUAAUUUUUUUAAAAUUAGUAUUUUUAUUGUUAUGAGAUGAUAAAAUAUGAAUAAUAUUUUACUUGUGAUUUAUGUUUUUUAUUUUUUUUUAAAAAAACAAAUAAGAUAAUUGGACGUGAAAAACUAUAGCGUACUUAAA